UUUCCGUAGGUGAACCUGCGGAAGGAUCAUUAACACGUAUCCACGUAUCAACACUCUGUGAACUAAUCUCCCCGGCUUGGAAAAGUUGUAAACAUAGUUAGUGGUAGGUGUGCUGCCUAAAAACAGCACAUAGCUAUGUUGACUAGGGUUUCGAACCUAAGGCUUUCUGAUGUUGGGCAUAUUUUCUACCACUCUUUUUUCACGACUAUCACUACUAAAACAUUUUGACUGACAUUCUUAUGUAAGCGAAAGCUGGCAUAAGCAAGUUAUCUAAACUAAGCACAACUCUUAGCAAUGGAUAUCUUGGUUCUCGCAUCGAUGAAGAACGCAGC
rnacentral:misc_RNA from 1 species